rnacentral:lncRNA from 1 species
CCACGGGAGAAACCCUCUGGGGCACGGGCGCACGUUCCCUCCUUCCACAGUGCAGAGCGGUGGCCUCCAAGCGGCCAGAUAAUGUCCCACUCGACCUCCCUUCCAUCAAGCGAGUGUGUUCCUCCCCAGCAGCCAAGACAGAGGACAAACCUGUGGACUCUGAUGGAGGGCAGGCUGCCCUACACCUGGAACCCCUGCACUUCCUGCAGUGCCAUAGCAGAAACAGCAGCCCUAAGGACCUGGAGACCCAGCUGUGGGCCUGUGCCUUUGAGCCUGCCAGGGAGGAGGGACACUCGGGGGCCACAGCACAGACUGUGGCCACAUGUGGGGGGGGGUAGACUGCCAGACAGGCAUCGUUCUCCAUAAAUACAAGGUACCAGGCGAGGACUUCUUCUCGGUGGCCUGGACAGCCCUGACGGUGGUCACCCAGGCAGGACACAAGAAGCGCUGGAACAUGCUGGCAGCUGCAGGCCUCCGGGGCAUGAUCCGGCUGCUCCAUGUGCGUGCAGGCUUUUGCUGCAGCGUCAUCCGAGCCCAUAAGAAGGCCAUUGCCACCCUCUGCUUCAGCCCCACCCACGAGACCCACCUCUUCAGUAAGACCCUCACCUCUGAACUUUAUCAGCACUGUAGUCUUUCUGCCCUGCUGUCCUGGGUCUCUUUUCUGGGGUGACAAGGCUCACAGGAUGCUGGGCCCAGAUGGCUUUAGUCAGAAGUGAUUUAGCUUCUUGACCAACCAGGAUCUCCAUUCCAGCAUGCUAUGCAGCCUUGCCUUUUCCUAGAAACUUGGGCUGCUUGCUUCUACUCUGCCUGGGACCAAGGGAGAUAACCCUGCCCCUUGGGUAUGGUGAGCCCAACGAAGGAGCCAGAUGUGCUACAAAGACGGCUAUGAUGCUGUGCACACUGGGCUCAGACAGAACUGGGGAUGG